rnacentral:rRNA from 1 species
UGAAUCAGUGUGUGUGUUAGUGGAAGCGUCUGGAAAGGCGCGCGAUACAGGGUGACAGCCCCGUACACAAAAAUGCACAUGCUGUGAGCUCGAUGAGUAGGGCGGGACACGUGGUAUCCUGUCUGAAUAUGGGGGGACCAUCCUCCAAGGCUAAAUACUCCUGACUGACCGAUAGUGAACCAGUACCGUGAGGGAAAGGCGAAAAGAACCCCGGCGAGGGGAGUGAAAAAGAACCUGAAACCGUGUACGUACAAGCAGUGGGAGCACGCUUAGGCGUGUGACUGCGUACCUUUUGUAUAAUGGGUCAGCGACUUAUAUUCUGUAGCAAGGUUAACCGAAUAGGGGAGCCGAAGGGAAACCGAGUCUUAACUGGGCGUUAAGUUGCAGGGUAUAGACCCGAAACCCGGUGAUCUAGCCAUGGGCAGGUUGAAGGUUGGGUAACACUAACUGGAGGACCGAACCGACUAAUGUUGAAAAAUUAGCGGAUGACUUGUGGCUGGGGGUGAAAGGCCAAUCAAACCGGGAGAUAGCUGGUUCUCCCCGAAAGCUAUUUAGGUAGCGCCUCGUGAAUUCAUCUCCGGGGGUAGAGCACUGUUUCGGCAAGGGGGUCAUCCCGACUUACCAACCCGAUGCAAACUGCGAAUACCGGAGAAUGUUAUCACGGGAGACACACGGCGGGUGCUAACGUCCGUCGUGAAGAGGGAAACAACCC